UGGGGAAUAUUGCACAAUGGGCGCAAGCCUGAUGCAGCCAUGCCGCGUGUGUGAAGAAGGCCUUCGGGUUGUAAAGCACUUUCAGCGAGGAGGAAGGGUAGUGUGUUAAUAGCACAUUGCAUUGACGUUACUCGCAGAAGAAGCACCGGCUAACUCCGUGCCAGCAGCCGCGGUAAUACGGAGGGUGCAAGCGUUAAUCGGAAUUACUGGGCGUAAAGCGCACGCAGGCGGUUUGUUAAGUCAGAUGUGAAAUCCCCGCGCUUAACGUGGGAACUGCAUUUGAAACUGGCAAGCUAGAGUCUUGUAGAGGGGGGUAGAAUUCCAGGUGUAGCGGUGAAAUGCGUAGAGAUCUGGAGGAAUACCGGUGGCGAAGGCGGCCCCCCUGGACAAAGACUGACGCUCAGGUGC
rnacentral:rRNA from 1 species